GGCAGCGUCUCCAUAUUUGCUGGUGUCCAUUGUGCUGGGGGUCAAAUGUUACAGAGCUCAAGCUGAACCUGAUGAGGAGAACAGAACAUAAGCAGUGAUGGAAGCUGGAGCAUCUUGCUGAGUGAAUACCAGGAUUUUACAUUAUAUAUAUUUUAAUGUGCUUUAACACCCAAUUAGAGAUUACUCAAUAUGACAGGUCAGAAAAA